AUUGAACGCUGGCGGCAGGCUUAACACAUGCAAGUCGAGCGGGGGAAGGUAGCUUGCUACCGGACCUAGCGGCGGACGGGGGAGUAAUGCUUAGGAAUCUGCCUAUUAGUGGGGGACAACAUCUCGAAAGGGAUGCUAAUACCGCAUACGUCCUACGGGAGAAAGCAGGGGACCUUCGGACCUUGCGCUAAUAGAUGAGCCUAAAUCGGAUUAGGUAGUAGGUGGGGUAAGGGCCUACCACGGCGACGAUCUGUAACGGGUCUGAGAGGAUGAGCCGCCAAGCUGGGACUGGACCGCGGCCCAGCCUCCUGCGGGAGGCAGCAGUGGGGAAUAUUGGACAAUGGGGGGAACGCUGAUCCAGCCAUGCCGCGUGUGUGAAGAAGGCCUUAUGGUUGUAAAGCACUUUAAGCAAGGAGGAAGCUACUCUAGUUAAUACCUAGGGAUAGUGGACGUUACUCGCAGAAUAAGCACCGGCUAACUCUGUGCCAGCCGCCGCCGUAA
rnacentral:rRNA from 1 species